CUGUAACUGAGAACUUGGAUUUGCCGGCUGAGGAACUCGAACACACAGAAGAGAGCGCCAACGUCAACGAAAAAAUGAGCGGCAAUCAUAUGAUCUCGAUCGUCAUCGCGAUGGUAUGCAUUGGCGUCUUCCGCGGUUCCAUCACUGCAAUCGCUACAGUUCCUGAAUUGGGAUCGGCUCGUGUCGUAUUUCAGACAAAUUAUGGGGACAUAGAGUUUGGUUUCUAUCACAGUGUUGCACCAAAGACAGUUGAACACAUUUUCAAGCUUGUUCGAUUGGGAGGUUAUAACACCAACCAUUUCUUCCGGGUAGACAAGGGGUUCGUCGCCCAAGUUGCUGAUGUUGGUGGAGGAAGAACUGCUCCAAUGAAUGAAGUGCAGAGGUUGGAAGCUGAGAAAACUGUUGUUGGUGAAUUUAGUGACGUGAAGCAUGUCAGAGGUAUUCUUUCUAUGGGAAGAUAUUCGGAUCCAGACAGUGCACAGUCAUCAUUCUCAAUACUCCUCGGAGAUGCUCCUCAUCUUGAUGGUCAGUAUGCAAUAUUUGGUAAAGUUACUAAGGGUGAUGAAACCUUGAGCAAAAUGGAGGAAGUUCCUACCCGGAAAGAAGGAAUUUUUGUAAUGCCAACUGAGCGUAUCACUAUUUUCUCUACGUACUACUAUGAUACUGAGACGGAAAGUUGUGAAGACGAUAGGUUGGAAUUGAAAAGGAGGAUUCUGGCAUCGGCUGUAGAGAUUGAAAAACAGAGAAUGAAGUGUUUUCCAUAACAUAUCAAGUAAUGUUGGGCCAUCCUCAAGAGGCUUACAUGCACAGCAGCAAUACGGCAACGCAAGAACGUGACACUGCCGGCUAGUUUCGUUCACACACUCCUUCCCCAGGUAAGACCACAAUGUAAAUGUUUGUGGUGUGUGCCUUAUGUCAGCCUUUGUAAGCAGAAAAAAUGGUGGAAAUAUUGUUAUAUAGGAGGAUAUUAAUGCAAUAUAUGUGGGUGAAGACCUCCAACAUUGUGAGUAGCCUUGUCAAGCUCUUUGACGACACUUAUUUGAAUCGACUAAACAUGAUAUGACCGGCGGCCGGGCCCAUGGCAUGUUGAAACUUUUUCAAGUUGACAUUUUGUGCCGGAUCUGUGUGUAUAUCUAGAUAAGAAUGGUGAUAUAUACUGCAUUUAUACAUAUAUGAUUGUGUGCUUAGUGUUGAUUAUAAAAGAGUUAAGAGUCUUCUUCUA